rnacentral:rRNA from 1 species
GCGGUAAUACGGAGGAUCCGAGCGUUAUCCGGAUUUAUUGGGUUUAAAGGGAGCGUAGGUGGAUUGUUAAGUCAGUUGUGAAAGUUUGCGGCUCAACCGUAAAAUUGCAGUUGAUACUGGAAGUCUUGAGUGCAGUAGAGGUGGGCGGAAUUCGUGGUGUAGCGGUGAAAUGCUUAGAUAUCACGAAGAACUCCGAUUGCGAAGGCAGCUUGCUGGACUGUAACUGACGCUGAUGCUCGAAAGUGUGGGUAUCAAACAGGAUUAGAUACCCUGGUAGUCCACACAGUAAACGAUGAAUACUCGCUGUUUGCGAUAUACAGUAAGCGGCCAAGCGAAAGCGUUAAGUAUUCCACCUGGGGAGUACGCCGGCAACGGUGAAACUCAAAGGAAUUGACGGGGGCCCGCACAAGCGGAGGAACAUGUGGUUUAAUUCGAUGAUACGCGAGGAACCUUACCCGGGCUUAAAUUGCAAAUGAAUGUUCUGGAAACAGAUCAGCCGCAAGGCAUUUGUGAAGGUGCUGCAUGGUUGUCGUCAGCUCGUGCCGUGAGGUGUCGGCUUAAGUGCCAUAACGAGCGCAACCCUUAUCGUCAGUUACUAACAGGUCAUGCUGAGGACUCUGGAGAGACUGCCGUCGUAAGAUGUGAGGAAGGUGGGGAUGACGUCAAAUCAGCACGGCCCUUACGUCCGGGGCUACACACGUGUUACAAUGGGGGGUACAGAGGGCCGCUACCACGCGAGUGGAUGCCAAUCCCAAAAACCUCUCUCAGUUCGGACUGGAGUCUGCAACCCGACUCCACGAAGCUGGAUUCGCUAGUAAUCGCGCAUCAGCCACGGCGCGGUGAAUACGUUCCCGGGCCUUGUACACACCGCCCGUCAAGCCAUGGGAGCCGGGGGUACCUGAAGUGCGUAACCGCGAGGAGCGCCCUAGGGUAAAACUGGUGACUGGGGCUAAGUCGUAACAAGGUAGCCGUACCGGAAGGUGCGGCUG